UAGUCCACGCCGUAAACGAUGUCAACUAGCCGUUGGAGCCUUGAGGCUUCAGUGGUGCAGCUAACGCGUGAAGUUGACCGCCUGGGGAGUACGGCCGCAAGGCUAAAACUCAAAUGAAUUGACGGGGGCCCGCACAAGCGGUGGAGCAUGUGGUUUAAUUCGAUGCAACGCGAAGAACCUUACCUACCCUUGACAUCCUCAGAACUUGUUAGAAAUAACUUGGUGCCUUCGGGAACUGAGUGACAGGUGCUGCAUGGCUGUCGUCAGCUCGUGUCGUGAGAUGUUGGGUUAAGUCCCGCAACGAGCGCAACCCUUAUCCUUAGUUGCCAGCACAUUAUGGUGGGAACUCUAAGGAGACUGCCGGUGAUAAACCGGGAGGAAGGUGGGGAUGACGUCAAGUCCUCAUGGCCUUUAUGCCUAGGGGCUGCACACGUCCUACAAUGGUACGGACAAACGGACGCAAUACCGCGAGGGUGGGA
rnacentral:rRNA from 1 species